rnacentral:rRNA from 1 species
AUACCCUGGUAGUCCACGCCGUAAACGAUGUCGACUUGGAGGUUGUGCCCUUGAGGCGUGGCUUCCGGAGCUAACGCGUUAAGUCGACCGCCUGGGGAGUACGGCCGCAAGGUUAAAACUCAAAUGAAUUGACGGGGGCCCGCACAAGCGGUGGAGCAUGUGGUUUAAUUCGAUGCAACGCGAAGAACCUUACCUACUCUUGACAUCCAGAGAACUUAGCAGAGAUGCUUUGGUGCCUUCGGGAACUCUGAGACAGGUGCUGCAUGGCUGUCGUCAGCUCGUGUUGUGAAAUGUUGGGUUAAGUCCCGCAACGAGCGCAACCCUUAUCCUUUGUUGCCAGCGGUUAGGCCGGGAACUCAAAGGAGACUGCCAGUGAUAAACUGGAGGAAGGUGGGGAUGACGUCAAGUCAUCAUGGCCCUUACGAGUAGGGCUACACACGUGCUACAAUGGCGCAUACAAAGAGAAGCGACCUCGCGAGAGCAAGCGGACCUCAUAAAGUGCGUCGUAGUCCGGAUUGGAGUCUGCAACUCGACUCCACGAAUCCGGAAAUCGCA